rnacentral:lncRNA from 1 species
UGCAACUAUACCUAACAAGAGUCACAAUUAUUAUUUUUUUUUUUUUUUUUACCUUUUUAUAGAUAAACAAGAUGGUAAAUCAUCAAGUAGUUAUACAAAAAACUUUUAUAAAAGUUUAAAUAACUACGUACGAGAAUUUGAUAGUAUUGAAAAAAAAGAAAAUAAGAAUGAUGAAUUAAUUAAUGAAGUGUACGACAAACAGAACACACCAACAGUUCAACUAUUUAAUACAAGUUCUAAAGGUGGAAAUCGUUCAAGAUUGUUCGACAACCAGUGGAAAAAGUACAAUUAUAAUUAUAAAAAAUGGAAACGAAAGAAUAAACUAUGAUUAUAUAAAUGCCACCAAUGAAUACUAUAAACCAACAAACGUUGAAGAGAAAGUAACAAACACAGGAAUAACUAAUAAAACCUUUUUUCAGAUAAUAAUGUGUUGCAAUAUGAAGAUAGCAUGA